ensembl:lncRNA
GAACAAAUCAUUUAAAACACCCAUUUGUAUGAAACAUACACUUAAUAAGCUUGAGGAGAGCACUGUCCCAUAUUUGGAUUGUAAGUGGCCUACAGCCCCUUCAAAGCCCGGCUUUUAAAGCUUAAGGAAUGGGCCAUAAUGCUAGAAGGUAGUCUUGUUAGAAGGUACAGUUUGGUUCAAAGACAGCUUUUUUAUUUCUUUGAUUUGCUGAUUUCUUAGAAUUAGAUAAGCUUUUGCUAGUCCUAUUGAUUUUCUGUUGAAUCUCUUGAAAACCUCAUUUGGUGAGCUGUGUUUUAGGCAUCUUAGCUGGAUCUCUGUUGCUGGGUUUUCUCAAACAUUAAAAAAACAAAAACAAAUCAUUGGUCCUUUGGCCACUUCAAGUCUUACCUGAAUUAUAUUUGUAAUUGGAUUUUUUUUUUUCUUUUUAGGGCUGUACUUGUGGCAUAUGAAAGCUUCCAGGCUAGGGGUCGAAUAAGAGUUACAGCUGCCAGCCUAUACCACAGCCACAGCACCUCGGGAUCCAAGUCCCAUCUGUGACCUACAACACAGCUCAUGGCAAUGCUGGAUCCUCAACUCACUGAGCCAGGACAGGGAUGAAACCUGUAUCCUCUUGGAUACUAGUCAGACUGGUUUCUGCUAUGCCACUGGGGGAACUCCUACAAUGGGAUUUUAGUAAACACCCUCUUCCAGUUAUAAUUCUACUUUGUAACUUUGUUUACAAUUUGAUCUGGGAUCCCUACCCUUGGUCUUAAUGUGAUAACAAAUUUAUUCUUCAAGUGUUAUUUAAUUGUCCUUAGGGUUGAGAGAGAAACUAUGUUUAGGACCCUCCAUGGGCUUUGCCACUGAAGAGUCUAGUUUAUCCCUUUAGACUCCUCCAGAAAUAAUAGUUCCUGACUUUUGCAGAGUUAAAAUAUAGGACUAAUGACCAGCUUUUAAUGUGCAAAUUAAGUAUUCAGUAUAGAGUAUUCAGCAUUCCUUUUGCCCAUCUUAUUUAACUCAAAUUCUCUGUUGAAAUUCGAAGUGCGGGUUGAGUCUUCAUCUCAGUCAAUGGGGGUCACGUUAGGAUGAUGCUUCUAGAUACGAUUUUGGGGUAAAGUAGGAAAUUACAAGGAACAAUACAUGGAAAAGUGGCAUAGCUGUAGUUCUGCCAAAAUGCCAUCAAGACAUCAGAUAGGUUAAUGAUUACCUUUAAAAACUGCAAAGCUCAAAUCUCGGCCUAAAAAAAUACAAAAGCUGACACUUAGCCAAGCAAUCUGGACUCCUCCUGGCCGUUGGGCCCCAAGUGUCUGAAUCGGGAGCAGAGAGAAGGAAGUCAAUGGCUUUCGUGUCCCAGGAAGAAAAGACCAUCUUCCCUUUGUUCUGAGCAAAACUGGAAAAGAUGGUUUUUCCUGAAGACCUCAGCACAGUUGCCUGCUUUCUUUAAUGCUUACUAACAUUCUUUGUCUGUAGAUCUUAGCGAUUAUAUAUAAUAGUUUUCACUCAUGGCAACCUAUUAAGAGACUACUUAUAUACACCAAAUUAUAUAGUUAGAAACUGCCGUAUACUUUGGAAACUGGGAAAAGCAUUUGCAACUGUAUGGCUAGAGAGCCGUGUGUCUCUUGUCUCUGCCACAAGGUGGGGAGACAUUUCUGCCAGAGGACUCAGCAUUGCAAUGACAAGUUUCACAGCUGACGUUUCUCCUGCAAGAUAAAGUCACUUUCUUGCUUGAAAAAGAUUAUUUGCUAUGUUCGGACCACCUCCUUUCUGCCAUUUGGGUAGGUUUUGAGCUUCUUUGGCUGAUUUAUUUGCUAUAAUGCAGACAAUGGAGUCCUAAGGCUUAAUUUUUAAUUGUUUUAUUGUCUGAAACAGUAUCAUGGGUGUACUGGGCACAUGCGUCCAGGAUCAAGAGCACUGGAGGAGGCCUUCCUGAACCUCCGCAACCCUGGGACACACGCUGGGUCAUGAACACAGCCCACACUGGCAACCAGCACAGUUUGGGGGUCAAUCUCUACCUCACAGUGUACAGGAAAAGUACAAUUAAACUGCCCGGAACUUUGGUCAUAACAAACUGCUUCUAAAUGGCUCCCAGGGGCUUUCUUGUGUUAUUUCAGUAACAAUACCAAUUUAAAUGGAUAACCCUGAUUUCUAAAAAUCCAAAGCCAUAUAUUAUUAAUAGUCUUUGAGAAACAUAAGCCGUAUAUCAGUUAACCUCAUGGAGUCUCUUUUGGGGGCCAUGGAGGCUGAGUUUUCUUGGAAGCACUCACCUAGUGACACCAGAUUAUUGACCAGAACAUGCCCGAGUGUACCUUUAGACGGCACCCUUGAUUUUCACCAGUAAAACCCUGGGAAGUGUUUGAACAAAGGCAGCCCUAUUUUUAGUGAACAUUCAUGCUGAUUAAUAGGGCAGGAGAGUUUGGGGGGGAGUGGGAGAAAGUAGAGGGUUUGGAUGAAUGCCGGGGUGCAGAAAAGGCAGUCUUUUCAGCAUUUCGGGGCCCACAGCCUCACAGCGCUGCUUGCUUCUCAGCCAAGUGGAAACUGCACUCGGCACAGCGGCAGGUAAGCACUCCCGGUCAGUACUCGGGAGGGUUUUUUUCCGUUUGUUUUGAAAGCAAGCAAAUUCCUAGAAUAUUACGUCCGUGAGCACUGGUAUGAUAGACCAAACACAGGAGGCCACGUCACAAAUAAAAUGCUUACCAGAAAUCCUUGUGAAUGUUAUUGAGAGCACUUAAAAAUUAUAUUAUUGACAGUAAAGCAAAUAAUUAUUUCAUAAGGGCCAUAAUGACAGAAACUGGCAAUGAUUUGGGCAUAUCCAUUUUCUGAAUCUAUAUCCUUAUUUUCUAUAAUACAUAUCUUACCCCCCAAAACAAACAAACAAAACCCACCAAGAGUAAAUAUGGGGCUCUCCUAGUUUCUAAGAAACAGGUGUUUAAAUUGUGGAGAUGAAUAUUCCUCAGAUAUCAGUGAUUUCGACUACCCUUUCCACAUCUCUUUUCUUCCCCAAAUCCCCAACAGAUGAUCAGCUGCACUCAUAUUACCUUAUGUCACCAAGACGGUGAAGACAAGUUUCUGAAAUGAUUUUUCAUCCAAAGCCCUGAAAUGAUUUUGGGAAAGUCGAUAUUUUAAAAGGCCAUUUUCCUGAGAUAAGAACUGAGUUUGACGUCUGGGAUGAGGAUCUUGAUCAAGAGAAACAACCUUCACACCAAAGGGGGAUGCCUUGCCUGAAAGAGUGAGCUAACUAUGUUAAAUUUAGAAAAGAACAAUGGAGUUGACUUUAGCAUGUUUUCUACUGUGAUCUCUGUUACCCAGAAACAAAUACUAAAUGACGUUAAUGUCACUUUAAUUCUUUAAAAUGUUAAGUGGAAAUGGGGAAAAAGAACAAUCACUGGGCAUGAGAAAAAUUGCUGUCUUAAAAAAUCCAACAUCUAGAAUUAUAUGAAUAAGUACCCCCCAGAUACUCAGCAGUUGUCAAUAAUAUUUUUAACAGGGCUUGGAUCACCAGAAGUCAGGCAUGGGCACCUCAGCCCCCAGUGUUUUGUGGCCGCGAGGUGGCUGGAGACAGCUUAGUGUUUUCCCACCUUACAUCAGAUAGAAAAAAGUUGCUAAGAGCCCAGCAAUGCUCACGCACAUGAUGUAAAAGUGAAAAUGCACACAGAAUUCAAUUACAUCUUGCAAGAAAAGUGACUGAGACAUGUCACAAAAGUUGGGCAAGGAAGAAUUACCCAACUAACGUCAGAGUUCCUAUAUCAGACUGUGAUCACUUUAGAUUUGCCAAAGAAACAAAAUAAAUGAUGAAUUAAUCCUUGAUAUUACUCUAAUUUUUUUGCAUUUAGAAAAUUGUUAUAGAUUGCCAAUCUUAAAAAAAAAAAAAAAAAUCGCUAACGCCUUUACCCAGAGUCCCAUGGAGGCUCAGCAGGUUAAGGAUCCGGCAUUGUCACUGCUACGGUGCAGGUUUGAUCCCU